GUGAGGAAUAUUGAGCAAUGGGCGCAAGCCUGACUCAGCAACGCCGCGUGGAUGAUGAAGGCCUUCGGGUUGUAAAAUCCUUUUCUGAGGGAAGAUAAUGACGGUACCUCAGGAAUAAGUUCCGGCUAACUACGUGCCAGCAGCCGCGGUAAAACGUAGGGGACGAGCGUUAUCCGGAUUUACUGGGCGUAAAGCGCAUGUAGGUGGCGCGGAAAGUUGGACGUGAAAGCUCCCGGCUUAACUGGGAGAGGUCGUUCAAAACUUCCGCGCUUGAGGUUGGAAGAGGAGAGCGGAAUUCCCGGUGUAGUGGUGGAAUGCGUAGAUAUCGGGAGGAACACCAGUGGCGAAAGCGGCUCUCUGGUUCACACCUGACACUGAGAUGCGAAAGCGUGGGGAGCGAACGGGAUUAGAAACCCGAGUAGUCC
rnacentral:rRNA from 1 species